UACGUAGGGUGCAAGCGUUGUCCGGAAUUAUUGGGCGUAAAGAGCUCGUAGGCGGUUUGUCGCGUCUGCUGUGAAAACCCGAGGCUCAACCUCGGGCCUGCAGUGGGUACGGGCAGACUAGAGUGCGGUAGGGGAGAUUGGAAUUCCUGGUGUAGCGGUGGAAUGCGCAGAUAUCAGGAGGAACACCAGCGGCGAAGGCGGCGCUCUGGGCCGGAACUGACGCUGAGGAGCGAAAGCGUGGGUAGCAAACAGG
rnacentral:rRNA from 1 species